rnacentral:rRNA from 1 species
AUUGAACGCUGGCGGCAGGCCUAACACAUGCAAGUCGAGCGGGGUUUUCGGACCUAGCGGCGGACGGGUGAGUAAUGCGUAGGAAGCUACCCGAUAGAGGGGGAUACCAGUUGGAAACGACUGUUAAUACCGCAUAAUGUCUACGGACCAAAGUGUGGGACCUUCGGGCCACAUGCUAUCGGAUGCGCCUACGUGGGCAUUAGCUAAUUGGUGAGGUAAUGGCUCACCAAGGCGACGAUCCCUAGCGGGUUUGAGAGGAUGAUCAGCCACACUGUAACUGACACACGGUCCAGACUCCAACGGGAGGCAGCGGUGGGUAAUAUUGGACAAUGCGCGCAAGCCUGAUCCAGCCAUGCCGCGUGUGUGAAGAAGGCCUUCGGGUUGUAAAGCACUUUCAGUAGGGAGGAAGCGUUGUGUGUUAAUAGUACACAGCGUUGACGUUACCUACAGAAGAAGCACCGGCUAACUCUGUGCCAGCCGCCGCCGUAAUAC